UACGGACACACAGACGAGACGACCACAAAUCACUCCGGCCGGUCGUAUCCACACUGCUAGUGCUACUUGCUGCCGCUUCUUUCCUUGGUCUCUCGUUGUUCUCUGCGGCGACUAGACUACAGUGGGUCUCCCCACAAUCUGCGGCGGCGACGGCGUCGAAGAGCUCGAUCUGUUCAACGUUCGCUCAGCAGAGGCGAAGAGUUGCUGUUCGGUGUUCUUCAGGAUGCUCUUCUUCGAUUGAGCCAAGCCAGAAUUGGAUCUAUAUUCUCCAGUAGUUCAUCUUGGGUUGCUGCAAAUUGGAUUUGAAGGAGCUGCUAUUCAAGAAUUUCGACCCAAGGACAAUGCUAUAGCGGUGUGCAGAUCAGAGAGCAAAGA